rnacentral:rRNA from 1 species
GACGAACGCUGGCGGCGUGCUUAACACAUGCAAGUCGAACGGAAAGGCCCUGCUUUUGUGGGGUGCUCGAGUGGCGAACGGGUGAGUAACACGUGAGUAACCUGCCCUUGACUUUGGUAUAACUUCAGGAAACUGGGGCUAAUACCGGAUAGGAGCUCCUGCUGCAUGGUGGGGGUUGGAAAGUUUCGGCGGUUGGGGAUGGACUCGCGGCUUAUCAGCUUGUUGGUGGGGUAGUGGAUUACCAAGGCUUUGACGGGUAGCCGGCCUGAGAGGGGGACCGGCUACAUUGGGACUGAGAUACGGCACAGACUCCUACGGGAGGCAGCGGUGGAGAAUAUUGCACAAUGGGCGGAAGCCUGAUGCAGCAACGCCGCGUGCGGGAUGACGGCCUUCGGGUUGUAAACCGCUUUCGCCUGUGACGAAGCGUGAGUGACGGUAAUGGGUAAAGAAGCACCGGCUAACUACGUG